rnacentral:lncRNA from 1 species
CUCAUAUACACAUUUUAUAGGCAAACUGGAUACCUUUAUAUUUGAACUUGUAAGGUCAGUUUGCCUACUUGAAAUUGUACAAACAUUUUUGUAUUCUGUAAAAAUAAGAGGUAUGAUCGACAAUGAGAAACUCUCCAUCACAAACCAAAUGAGGUAGAAUUUAGCAACUAUAUGUUACUACAACCUUUAACCAUGAGCAAAACCCAUAAGACAUAGCAAGCUAUAAAAGGUUCUGAAAUGAAAAAUGUAAACCAAUUUAAAUGUAAAAACUAACAUUCAAUAUAAAAAAAGAAGAUGUGGUAUGAUUGCCAAUGAGACAACUCUCCACAAGAGACCGGCAAAAUUCAGAAAUUAACAACUAUAGGUCACUGUAUGGCCUUUAACAACGAGCAAAGCACAUACUGCAUAGUCGGCUAUAAAAGGCCCUGAAAUGACAAUGUAAAACAAUUCAAACAAGAAAACUAACGGCCUUAUUUAUGUACCAAAAAUGAAACAAAAACAAAUAUGUACCG